UACGCCCACAUCACGUUGAAACACCGGUUCUCGUACGAUCACAUAAGUUAAGUAUCGUUGAGCUUUGUCAGUGCCUAGAUGGGUGACCGUUUAGGAAUACCAGAUGCUGCAAG